CUAUGAAUCAGCUGAAGGUGAAUGCCUAAAGAAAAGGACCUUCCCUCUCCAAAGUCCCCUUCAGGGGUGACUCAGAUGCUGAGUGUCCAGGGAAAGAGAUCAAGCUGCAAAGAGAGCAGCUGCCUUCUACGAGGGAAAGCAACAAUCACUUCCUGUGGUCCAUUCUGAAAAACCACUAAAGAAGCAAAUAUUACCUACAGAUCUGGUAUAUUUCCCACAUGAGAUAUCUGUAAGCAGUCGGACAGGCAGGUCCUGAGGACUCUCUAGUCCUGGACUUCCUGUAUCAAGUAAGACAGGGUGGCCUCAAGACCUCCCAACCCCAGGAUGAACAUAUGUGGAGAAGGGAAGAGAUUCCAUUUUCUCUUGCAGUCAAUAUACUGUAUGUUCUCAUUAAGAAACAAAUGUCCUUCUGGAGUUGAGAGUAAAAGACGUAUAUAGCUGGAUCAAGCUGAAGAAUUGGGGCAAACAUCUCUAUUGAAAACCCAGCCUCCAGAACUGAAGCAUCUUUCACUGAGCAACUGGGAGUUUCAUUCAUGGAUCAGGACAGUGUAAUCACAGUGAACAACAACUCUGGCAGCCUCCUGACUGGAUUACAGUAACACACUGCACAUGGAGCAGUCCUUGAAGACAGCUGUUUCACUUGUAUGAAAUCUGGCUGUUAGACGGCUAACAGGUACAGAAUGAUGAGAUCACCUUAUACUGAUCCUAAGGGAGUUGCACUGCUUCUGGGUCCAAUUACAGCAUGAUUUUAACCUAAACAAAUAUGCCACAAUAAUGCUAUAUCCUAGACCAACCAGCCUGUAUCUUAAAAUCUGCUGGGAAGAGUUACCGCACAAUACUUUCCACACAUUAUAUAAUUAUAGAAAUGAGAAUCUUCUCUGCCGUGACAUUCCAUUUGAUGAAUAAAACUUCAGC